GAUGAACGCUGGCGGCGUGCCUAACACAUGCAAGUCGAGCGAUCUUCUUCGGAAGAGAGCGGCGGACGGGUGAGUAACGCGUGGGUAACCUGCCUCAUACACAUGGAUAACAUACCGAAAGGUAUGCUAAUACAAGAUGAUAUAAGAGAUUCGCAUGGAUUUCUUAUCAAAGCUCCGGCGGUAUGAGAUGGACCCGCGUCUGAUUAGCUAGUUGGUAAGGUAAUGGGCUUACCAAGGCGACGAUCAGUAGCCGACCUGAGAGGGUGAUCGGCCACAUUGGAACUGAGACAC
rnacentral:rRNA from 1 species